rnacentral:rRNA from 1 species
UUGACCUCAAAUCAGGUAGGACUACCCGCUGAACUUAAGCAUAUCAAUAAGCGGAGGAAAAGAAACUAACAAGGAUUCCCCUAGUAACUGCGAGUGAAGCGGGAAAAGCUCAAAUUUGAAAUCUGGCAGUUUUUGACUGUCCGAGUUGUAAUCUAGAGAAGUGUUACCUGUGCUGGACCGUGUGCAAGUCUCCUGGAAUGGAGCGUCAUAGAGGGUGAGAAUCCCGUCUUUAACACGGACUACCAUGUACAUUAUGGUGCGCUCUCAAAGAGUCGAGUUGUUUGGGAAUGCAGCUCAAAAUGGGUGGUAAAUGCCAUCUAAAGCUAAAUAUUGGCGAGAGACCGAUAGCGAACAAGUACCGUGAGGGAAAGAUGAAAAGAACUUUGGAAAGAGAGUUAAACAGUACGUGAAAUUGCUGAAAGGGAAACGCUUGAAGUCAGUCGCGUUGGCUAGAAAUCAGCCUUGCUUUUGCUUGGUGUACUUUCUGGUUGAUGGGUCAGCAUCAAUUUUGAUCACUGGAUAAAGUCUUUGGGAAUGUGGCAUCUUUGGAUGUGUUAUAGCCCAUUGUCGCAUACAGUGGUUGGGAUUGAGGAACUCAGCACGCCGUAAGGCCAGGUUUCGACCAUGUUCGUGCUUAGGAUGCUGGCAUAAUGGCUUUAAUCGACCCGU